rnacentral:rRNA from 1 species
GUGGGGAAUCUUGCGCAAUGGGCGAAAGCCUGACGCAGCCAUGCCGCGUGAAUGAUGAAGGUCUUAGGAUUGUAAAAUUCUUUCACCGGGGACGAUAAUGACGGUACCCGGAGAAGAAGCCCCGGCUAACUUCGUGCCAGCAGCCGCGGUAAUACGAAGGGGGCUAGCGUUGCUCGGAAUUACUGGGCGUAAAGGGCGCGUAGGCGGACAGUUUAGUCAGAGGUGAAAGCCCAGGGCUCAACCUUGGAAUUGCCUUUGAUACUGGCUGUCUUGAGUACGGGAGAGGUGAGUGGAACUCCGAGUGUAGAGGUGAAAUUCGUAGAUAUUCGGAAGAACACCAGUGGCGAAGGCGACAUACUGGCUCAUUACUGACGCUGAGGCGCGAAAGCGUGGGGAGCAAACAGGAUUAGAUACCCCUGUAGUCC